AAGUCCAAAUAUUCUUAGCAAAUAUGGGGAAGCGUAUGAUUCAUAAUUUUCAAUGGUUACAGACUCAGAAAACUUCUUCCAACUCUGAUUAUUCAUGCUCUCUGGUAUGAAAGACAAAAAGGAAAAGGAGCAUCCAUAGCUUACAGGAAACAAUUGGAAAACAAGAGUACACCAUAUGAGUUUCCUCAGUACGUAUAGCCCUUCACGAACAUUCCUUUCUUAG